UACGGAGGAUGCGAGCGUUAUCCGGAUUUAUUGGGUUUAAAGGGUGCGUAGGCGGGCUGUUAAGUCAGCGGUCAAAUGUCGGGGCUCAACCCCGGCCUGCCGUUGAAACUGGUGGCCUCGAGUGGGCGAGAAGUAUGCGGAAUGCGUGGUGUAGCGGCGAAAUGCAUAGAUAUCACGCAGAACUCCGAUUGCGAAGGCAGCAUACCGGCGCCCGACUGACGCUGAGGCACGAAAGCGUGGGUAUCGAACAGG
rnacentral:rRNA from 1 species